CACCCAUUGUUGUCUAAGGGGGACGGGGAUACGGCUGGUCACUGCACAUUUGUUAUACAUUUCGGUAAAAACAGGCCCCCUAUCGGCUCGGGGCCCUAAGCAGUUGCCUGCCUUGCCUGUUCACAAGCUGCGCGUCUGUGCUCGUCUUCACCCAGGUGUUUUUCAAUUAGCUGAUGACCGCUGAUUGCUUCCUCCUCCUCUUCUUAUUUAAUCUUCUUCCAGCCAACACAUCCGUGAUGUUACUUCGAAGAGAAGCUGCACGAGCCGUGAAACGAAAAAAAAGACGCGAAAAAAGUGUCGCUAGUGUCGCUACUAAAACUUUUCCGGGGGGAGGGAACGUGUGGCGGUAAUGCACCAACCGCCAUAAAACCUCGAAAAAGAAGGAGGGAAAACCUCAAAAAAGGAGGAAAACAAGAGAAAAAAAAAGAAAACUACAGAGGCGUGACGCCAGACGCCGCGUGCAUCAGCUCCUGUAUAAAAACGCAGCAAGCAGCCCCAGGGUGGCGUGUUCGACCUGGUCCAGAUUGGUGGCCCGUCCAGAAUGGAACAACCUGCUUCCUGCUCACGGAGACCUGGUCGGACCCGCCAUAUACAAAAGCCUGAGGCUGUCAAAAAAAGAUUGAUCUUCAUGAAGAUCGUCAAAUAGUAGGCGUCAUGAUUUAAUUCUGGGUGGCCGCUGUGUCCCCACUCUUUCUUGGCCGCUGUGCCUACAUCUCUCUGCUUUGUCCAACAUGGCCACGUUCUUUCUAUUCUCCUGCUUCCCAUCUGUCAAAUAGCUCAGGGUUGUACAUGGAGCAUUUGCCACAGGUUGGUUUUGUAUGUUCCUGUCCACUUUAUUGGGUGGUCUGAUCUGGUCCUUGUUGGUUAUAUUUUUGUGGAACUGCUGAGUGAGUGAUUUGAAAGAAUGAGGUGACUGAUGGAGUUUGAAAUUCUCUCUCUGAAUGAGUGGGUUGUGUGUGACUGAGAUGCCUGGAUUGAAUAGUUAAGAUGGUCUGAGAAUAAGAUUAUGUUCAGCAGUUCACAUUAAAGUAGAUAUGGUGUCUUGAAGGGCUUAGAUGCUUGAUAAGUUUUAAUGCACUAACAUUUCCUUUUUAGGUCCGUCUACAAAGGGUGAGUCCAUAUUUUUUUUAUUUCUUCUCUGGGGGCUACCUUCUUGGCCUCCAUGUGUGCUAGGGUUUGCAGAGUAGGGGAAUAAACAAAAGAAAACUUUUUUGUUGUGUUUUUUUAAAGUGAUGGUACUUAGGUGUCUGCAACUGACUUGCUAGUCUGGCUGCGCACAGCUAACUACCAAAUCACACUGACAAUUUACAUGCAAAGGUAAGAACACGGCUCUCUAUGGAGUUGUUUUCUUGCCUUGCCACUUUUUUCACUUUCCAGCUGUUACGCAGGCCGCGGGCCAUCGCUCUUCCGGCCGCCGCGUCGAUCUGUCCUGGCCCUCAUGCCUUUCCUAACUUCUAAAAGGGGGAAAAAAAAAUCAACUUGAACUGUUUUCUUUAGCACUAACAUAUAGUGAUGUUGGAGGACCAGAUCUUAAAUGAGGUUUAAAUGGAUGUUGGUGUACAGUUAAAGCUAGAUGGUAGGAAUAAAAUUAAUGUUGUGCCUUAUACACUCUGUCACAAGGCUUAGACUUCUUGGCCGUUGUGCCUUUUUUUUUUUUCUCUUUUCCAUCGUGGCCAUUAAUCUACCAUUAGCCCUAGAACGUUAAAAUAGAUCCUGGUGAUCUACUAACACAGUACCUGGCUUUGGAUGGCAGCCAUGCCAUUGCCUUUGUAUGGCCACACGUCCCUUAAUGCAAGUAGGCCAUGAUCGCUAACUGUGCCCGCGCCUUCGUGGUCUAUUUGUGUUAUUGUACGUCUGGCCUUGCGCGUAUAGUCAUUUUACAUAGGCAAACAUGGGUGCCUCUGCGUCCAUGCACAGUAAGUGAACUAACCUGUACUUUUCUUUUAGCAUCAAUCAAGAGGAGCACCGACAUAUCUGCAUGUCCAACCUAAUUAGAUUGCGUUUUAGUUAAAGUAAAAUUUCAAAUGGUAAGUGCAGUUUUUCUUUCUUGCUUGGCCGCUGUGCCAUUACUAUACCUGCUCUGACCUGAAUCUUGAUUCUUCAUGGCCACUGUCAUGUCUGUACUUGGUCUUCAUGCCAGUCUAUAAUUUCUGAUCUCUUUUUCCUACUAAGUUCUCUGUGUGUGUGUGUGUGUGUGUGUGUGUGUGUGUGUGUGUGUGUGUGUGUGUGUGUGUGUGUGUGUGUGUGUGUGUGUGUGUGUGUGUGUGUGUGUGUGUGUGUGUGUGUGUGUGUGUGUGUGUGUGUGUGUGUGUGUGUGUGUGUGUGUGUGUGUGUGUGUGUGUGUGUGUGUGUGUGUGUGUGUGUGUGUGUGUGUGUGUGUGUGUGUGUGUGUUAGUCUCGACUUAAAUAGAUGAUUUUAAAGUUGAUUAGUCUUGCGGCGUCUGAUUUCUGCAGGAAAUUCUGGUACCUUAUUUUUAAAUGGCUUUGAUUUAAAAAUUAAAUUUUUGUCUUGAAUCUUCGUUAUCAUAGUUGCAACUUGGCCUGUUGACAAACGUGGAAGCUGAUCAUGUAGUAAAUACAUCAAAGUUUACUGUAGCUUGUCUAAAGUUAUUUCAAAGUGCUGUAAAAUGUAGUAAUUGAUUACGAGGAGCUAGAGCAGGUCUUCCUUUUAUUCUCAACUGGUAAUUGCUUUAAGAUAACUGGAUCCUGAUUUGAUUAUGAAGCUAAACUUUUGAUUUAUAUGCAAGUGUAGUCACAUUAGAUUGUAGGUGUUAUUCAGCCCAUGGAUAAUGUUAUGAUAUACUUUAGAUCUGGAUUUUGUUGGCACUUAACGCACUGCCAUCAGCCUUUUGUAGUCGCUAACUUAAAUCGAAUUUAAUAUUGAUGCUGACUUGUCUCACUCUGCCAAGUUUAUUUCCCUCUAAAGGAGUUGAACCUUUUUGUGUUCAUAGUCUUUUUGCGCGUCAUGUUGGGAGGCCUCCCAGCAGGGGAUUUUUAUCUUCCCCUGUAAAACUACGUGUUACUCGCCUUUAGGGAUGCAGGGCUAUCCUGCAUAGUUUCUUUCAUAAAUGAGAUUGUAGGUUGCAGGUUUAGAGCGCGUUUCUUUUCUUUAGGAGGACACAAACCUGGCAGAGAGACAACUCGGAUUAUUUAAGUGAAAGUUGCGCCAAAUGUUCAAACCUUUUAUCUUUCGGACGACUUGAAAUAAAACCUUUAUUCUGUGGGCUGACUUUCAGGAGUCAUGAUGUUUAGAAAAUCAGACAGAAUUUGGCUUCAUGUUAAAGACUGUUGUGCAAGUACCCUCUUGUAGCAGGAGUGAGUGGCUGCAGCUUUUUAAUUUUUUCGUUAUUUGAUUUGUUUCUUGGAUUGACUUGGUGUCUGGAGCUUUGUGGUUAACAGUGAUCAUGUAAACGUGUAAACACAAGUGGUCUUGUGCCUCUUAUUUGAGAAGCUGGCAGCUGGUUGAAAUGAUAGGACUUUAUGGCUUGCCCAAAGUGGGAUUUUUGAUCGAGCAUAGGGUUAACACCUUACCAUACACUAGCUAUUUUGGCGAACAAGUGUCUGUAGUCCAUUAUUACCCAUUACUUUCUUUCAAAUUCCACAAUUUAGGCAGCUUGUAGAGUCAUUAGGAAGAUGCUUAAUCCCAAUGUCUUGGUUGGUUGCAUGAGAAACUGCUACCUCUUAGAUGUGUUGGCGAAGUUCCUCCUCUGAUUUUUGUAGACUUGCCCUGAAGUUUCUCUCUGCUUUAACUCUUGUUGAGCUAUGCAUUAAAUGAUUCCUCCAACUUGUCUCCAUAUCAAUUUUUUUCUCCCCGCAGCCUUCCACCACCCACUGCUGCUGUUGCAUCUGCUAAAGGUAGCCGUAUCCUGAUUCACUGCGUCUUCAUGUGUUGGGUAAGAAGUGUCAUUGGACUAUUAACAAUGUAAACACCUUUUAAAUGCUUGAUCUAAUUUACCCAAAUGGUUCAUCAGUUUAGGGCAAAAAAAUCAUUGAAUUUUACCUUCUUGGGGUCAGUAACCUGACCUCUAAAUGUUUGGGAAACCAUGCAAAAGAUCGCAAGCUCUCUGCAUGACCCAACAGCAUCGAUGUUUGAGUGAUUUAAGUGCUCAAUUUUUAAAUCAGUCAAGAUUUUAUGAGCUGGGUCUUCUUCACACAACAGAGAACAAGGUAAAUUGAGUCGACUCGUAACAUGGUAAGGCAUUUUGUCUUUCCCCUUCUUCUCUGUGUGUGAGGAAAUCUGGCCACGGAUCCUGACUGAGUGGCAUACCAUGGCUGUGCAGUUUCCAAAAUCAGACAAGGAUCCAUCUGAUUUUGUGACUCAGCCUGUCAUGAUAUGCAUUUAACUUCCUCCGAAACAAAGGAUUGGAAUCGACAGGUUUGUAGUGUAAAUCACAUCACAUCACAUGUAGGUGGUGAAGCAUUUGUUUAAAUUGGGGUCAAGCAUUUUCAGGUGUCUGCUUUGUCAAUACUCUGGUGCCACAUCUUGCUAAACACACGAGAAGCUCUGAAUUGUGAAACUGCUGCCUCUUGCAGAUGUUACAACAGCAAUGGCUGUUGAAAGGCUGCAGGGAGAGAAAAUGAGAUCUGAGGACAGGAAAGUGGAAUUGAUUUCAUGCUUAGCAAAAUGAGGGUUUCAGCAGAGGACCUUUUUGUGGCUAAGCUACAGAAUCAGAAGGAACGUUUGUCUGGGCAACUGGGAGAUUUACAGUUUUUCAUGCAGCCAGCCAAGACAUUGGGGUUAGCAUCAUACCAAAUGGCUGGCAAAGAUUGCCUGUAACUGUCAGUGUAGAACAGGAAAGGCAGAUAUAGGUUAGGGAGGGCAUCCAUCGGUGAGCUCUGACUGGAUGCGAGGACCUGUCACACUUGACCAGAGAUGGAGGCUGCAGCACAUUCCUGGAUCAGAGGACUCCAUGUUGGACACCACGACCUGGUGAAGUCCCGUCCUGGAUGGCUGCAGUGAUGACCUCGCCCAAGAUGAACCGACCCUUCUGCGAUGAGGACUUCGUCCAAGAUGAACCGACCCUUCUGCGAUGAGGACUUCGUCCAAGAUGAACCGACCCUUCUGCGAUGACGCCUCUUGUCCACGGGAUGUCUUCAGAUGUUGGACCUUGCCAAACUGUACACAUGGCUGCUACGUCACUCUGCCCAACAGGACAUGGUCACCGAGAUUUUUUUUUUUUUUAAAUGGACUUUAACCCCCCCAUCCCCCCUGACCCAUUAAUUUAAUAUUGAUGCUGACUUGUCUCACUCUGCCAAGUUUAUUUCCCUCUAAAGGAGUUGAACCUUUUUGUGUUCAUAGUCUUUUUGCGCGUCAUGUUGGGAGGCCUCCCAGCAGGGGAUUUUUAUCUUCCCCUGCAAAACUAUGCGUUACUCGCCUUAGGGAUGCAGGGCUAUCCUGCAUAGUUUCUUUCAUAAAUGAGAUUGUAGGUUUAGAGCGCGUUUCUUGUCUUUAGGAGGAAACAAACCUGGCAGAGAGACAACUCGGAUUAUUUAAGUGAAAGUUGCGCCAAAUGUUCAAACUUUUUGUCUUUAAAUAAAACCUUUAUUCUGUGGGCUGAAUUCCAGGAGUCAUGAUGUUUCGAAAAUCAGACAGAAUUUGGCUUCAUGUUAAAGACUGUUGUGCAAGUACCCUCUUGUUGCAGGAGUGAGCAGCUGCAGCUUUUUAAUUUAUUUUUUGUUAUUUGGGUUAUUUGUUUCUUGGAUUGACUUGGUGCCUGGAGCUUUGUGGUUAACCCUGAUCAUGUAAAUGUGUAAACACAAGUGGUCUUUUGCCUCUUAUUUGAGAAGCUGGCAGCUGGUUGAAAUGAUAGGACUUUAUGGCUUGCCCAAAGUGGGAUUUUUGAUAGAACAUUAGGGUGAACACCUCACCAUACACUAGCUAUUUCGGCAAACAAGUGUCUGUAGUCCAUGUUGGACACCACGACCUGGAGAAGUCCUGUCCUGGAUGGCUGCGGUGAUGACCUCGCCAAAGAUGAACCGACCCUUCUGCGAUGACGCCUCUUUUCCACAGGAUGUCUUCAGAUGUUGGACCUUGCCAAACUGUACACAUGCCUCAAUGGCUGCUACGUCACUCUGCCCAUCAGGACAUGGUCACCGAGAUUUUCUUUUUUUUAAAUGGACUUUAACCCCCUCAUCCCACAACCACACAUGACAAAACACUGUACAUGUGAUGCAUCACCACACUCAAAUACAGACACUGCUACUUUCAGCCUGUAAUGUUUGACAUUGAAAACUUUGCCUUUUUUUUUAUAAAGUAAAACUUUUGUUCUUAA